GAUGAAGAACGUAGUGAAAUGCGAUAAGUAAUGUGAAUUGCAGAAUUCAGUGAAUCAUCGAAUCUUUGAACGCACCUUGCACCCUUUGGCAUUCCGAAGGGUAUGCUCGUUUGAGUGUCAUUGUACUCUCACUCUCCCGAUACUUUUGGAUCGGGAGUGGUGGACUUGGGUGCUGCUGCUUAACUGUGGCUCGCCUUAAAUGAAGUAGUGCAACUCUCGGUUGGACAUAGUACGGCGUGAUAAGUGUCUUCGCCGGCGCCUCAUUCGAGGGUGGCCGAUCGGGAGCUCUGUGCUUCAAACUGUCUUCGGACAACAUCUGACAACUUGACCUCAGAUCGAGUAGGACUACCCGCUGAACUUAAGCAUAUCAAUAAGCGGAGGA
rnacentral:misc_RNA from 1 species